GACGAACGCUGGCGGCGUGCUUAACACAUGCAAGUCGAACGGAAAGGCCCUGCUUUUGUGGGGUGCUCGAGUGGCGAACGGGUGAGUAACACGUGAGUAACCUGCCCUUGACUUUGGGAUAACUUCAGGAAACUGGGGCUAAUACCGGAUAGGAGCUCCUGCUGCAUGGUGGGGGUUGGAAAGUUUCGGCGGUUGGGGAUGGACUCGCGGCUUAUCAGCUUGUUGGUGGGGUAGUGGCUUACCAAGGCUUUGACGGGUAGCCGGCCUGAGAGGGUGACCGGCCACAUUGGGACUGAGAUACGGCCCAGACUCCUACGGGAGGCAGCAGUGGGGAAUAUUGCACAAUGGGCGGAAGCCUGAUGCAGCAACGCCGCGUGCGGGAUGACGGCCUUCGGGUUGUAAACCGCUUUCGCCUGUGACGAAGCGUGAGUGACGGUAAUGGGUAAAGAAGCACCGGCUAACUACGUGCCAGCAGCCGCGGUGAUACGUAGGGUGCGAGCGUUGUCCGGAUUUAUUGGGCGUAAAGGGCUCGUAGGUGGUUGAUCGCGUCGGAAGUGUAAUCUUGGGGCUUAACCCUGAGCGUGCUUUCGAUACGGGUUGACUUGAGGAAGGUAGGGGAGAAUGGAAUUCCUGGUGAAGCGGUGGAAUGCGCAUAUAUCAGGAGGAACACCAGUGGCGAAGGCGGUUCUCUGGGCCUUCCUGACGCUGAGGAGCGAAAGCGUGGGAGCGAACAGGCUUAGAUACCCUGGUAGUCCACGCUGUAAACGGUGGGUACUAGGUGUGGGGUCCAUUCCACGGGUUCCGUGCCGUAGCUAACGCUUUAAGUACCCCGCCUGGGGAGUACGGCCGCAAGGCUAAAACUCAAAGGAAUUGACGGGGCCCCGCACAAGCGGCGGAGCAUGCGGAUUAAUUCGAUGCAACGCGUAGAACCUUACCUGGGUUUGACAUGGAUCGGGAGUGCUCAGAGAUGGGUGUGCCUCUUUUGGGGUCGGUUCACAGGUGGUGCAUGCCUGUCGUCAGCUCGUGUCGUGAGAUGUUGGGUUAAGUCCCGCAACGAGCGCAACCCUUGUUCACUGUUGCCAGCACGUUAUGGUGGGGACUCAGUGGAGACCGCCGGGGUCAACUCGGAGGAAGGUGGGGAUGACGUCAAGUCAUCAUGCCCCUUAUGUCCAGGGCUUCACGCAUGCUACAAUGGCUGGUACAGAGAGUGGCGAGCCUGUGAGGGUGAGCGAAUCUCGGAAAGCCGGUCUCAGUUCGGAUUGGGGUCUGCAACUCGACCUCAUGAAGUCGGAGUCGCUAGUAAUCGCAGAUCAGCAACGCUGCGGUGAAUAAAUUCCCGGGGCU
rnacentral:rRNA from 1 species